GUGCACUCCAUUUGAGUGAGUGGGUGGCCAACUGCCUGACUUGCAUAUACGACUGACUGCCAUUCUGAAAACGAUAGUCAUGAGACCAAUAGGAUUCUACACAUUUAAUAAGGAACUAUUUCAUGUUCACUGGGCAUAGUGCUGGAAUGUGCACAUUGUUCACACUACUACUUACCUACACUUCCUAAACACCUGGAUCUCUCUUACACUGGAAUAAGCUGUCUCUAAAAUGAUGGAGCAACCGAAAACAAGAAGGCGAACAAGCAUCAUGGAGGGAGGCUGAUUUUUACUGACCACCACCAAGUGCACUGGUGAAAUGCUGUAAAUGGGAAUGAGGAAUCGUGACUAAUUAACAUCCUUUUUCACACA